rnacentral:rRNA from 1 species
CGCGUAGGCGGCAAGGCAAGUCAGAUGUGAAAUCCCCGGGCUCAACCUGGGAAUUGCAUCUGAAACUGCAGUGCUUGAGUCCUGGAGGGGAUAGUGGAAUUCCCAGUGUAGCGGUGAAAUGCGUAGAUAUUGGGAGGAACACCUGCGGCGAAGGCGGCUAUCUGGACAGUGACUGACGCUGAUGUGCGAAAGCCAGGGGAGCGAACG